AGAGUUUGAUCCUGGCUCAGGAUGAACGCUGGCGGCGUGCUUAACACAUGCAAGUCGAACGGAAAGGCCUCAGCUUGCUGGGGUACUCGAGUGGCGAACGGGUGAGUAACACGUGGGUGAUCUGCCCUGCACUUUGGGAUAAGCUUGGGAAACUGGGUCUAAUACCGAAUAUGACCACUUCUUGGAUGUUGUGGUGGAAAGCUUUUGCGGUGUGGGAUGAGCCUGCGGCCUAUCAGCUUGUUGGUGGGGUAAUGGCCUACCAAGGCGGCGACGGGUAUCCGGCCUGAGAGGGUGUACGGACACAUUGGGACUGAGAUACGGCCCAGACUCCUACGGGAGGCAGCAGUGGGGAAUAUUGCACAAUGGGCGCAAGCCUGAUGCAGCGACGCCGCGUGGGGGAUGAAGGCCUUCGGGUUGUAAACUCCUUUCGCUAUCGACGAAGCCACUUGUGGUGACGGUAGGUAGAUAAGAAGCACCGGCUAACUACGUGCCAGCAGCCGCGGUAAUACGUAGGGUGCAAGCGUUGUCCGGAAUUACUGGGCGUAAAGAGCUCGUAGGUGGUUUGUCGCGUCGUCUGUGAAAUCCCGGGGCUUAACUUCGGGCGUGCAGGCGAUACGGGCAUAACUUGAGUGCUGUAGGGGAGACUGGAAUUCCUGGUGUAGCGGUGAAAUGCGCAGAUAUCAGGAGGAACACCGAUGGCGAAGGCAGGUCUCUGGGCAGUAACUGACGCUGAGGAGCGAAAGCAUGGGUAGCGAACAGGAUUAGAUACCCUGGUAGUCC
rnacentral:rRNA from 1 species